GUUUCCCAAAAUUUUGUAUUCUGGAUAGGAUUGGUUCUCAGUUUUUACCGCUGCUGGUUUCUGAUUCAACUUUCUGAAUCUGCACGACAGUAACUACAAGUUCACUUCAUGCUUUCCAGUGUCAAAUUGAUGUUGAUAAAUCCUCUCCAGAGUACAUACUUGUGGGAAACAUACCGAUACUUGAUCAUUUUUUUAAAAAAUACCCCUUUUCUGUAAUUUUUGUCAAGUUUUAGAAGGGAAUACAUUAGGUCAGCAUCUAUACUCUACCAUUUUAACCUGGAAGCUUUAUUGAUUUUACACAUAUUAUCCAAUUUGAUCCUUGUAACAACCUAUUAUAUUGGUACUAUUAUUAGCAUUUUAUAGAUGAGGAAGCAGAGAACCAGAGAAAUUAAGUUAAUUACUCAGAUGCAUCCAGCUAGGAUUAAACCAGGAUUUGAACCCAGGUAGUUUUAAUUCAAAUUCUAUUUAACCAUCGUACUGUAAUUGUCUUUUAUGAUGUUAUGUUUUUUAUGCCUUGAAAAGCAUGCACCAUUACAUGAAUUAAUUAUAAUUAUUUCUGUACUGCCUGUAUUUAAUGGUAAUUUUUAUUUCAUGACAUGGAAAAAAUUAAAAAAAACACAAAACCUGUUAUAGUUGUGGGUAUCAACCAUAAGUUACUUAUUUUUUAUCACUAAUUGAUUUCGAAGUGCCUUUGCCCAAGAAA